rfam:Morus notabilis contig835, whole genome shotgun sequence.
AAAAUGGUAGGAUGUUGGUAGGGCUCAAUCAAAUCAAAUCUCCUAAGAAUUGGGUCCUUUUAUUUGAUUGAGCCGUGCCAAUAUCUCGUCUGGUUUC